GUUAAGCGACUAAGCGUACACGGUGGAUGCCCUGGCAGUCAGAGGCGAUGAAGGACGUGCUAAUCUGCGAUAAGCGUCGGUAAGGUGAUAUGAACCGUUAUAACCGGCGAUUUCCGAAUGGGGAAACCCAGUGUGAUUCGUCACACUAUCAUUAACUGAAUCCAUAGGUUAAUGAGGCGAACCGGGGGAACUGAAACAUCUAAGUACCCCGAGGAAAAGAAAUCAACCGAGAUUCCCCCAGUAGCGGCGAGCGAACGGGGAGCAGCCCAGAGCCUGAAUCAGUGUGUGUGUUAGUGGAAGCGUCUGGAAAGGCGCGCGAUACAGGGUGACAGCCCCGUACACAAAAAUGCACAUGCUGUGAGCUCGAUGAGUAGGGCGGGACACGUGGUAUCCUGUCUGAAUAUGGGGGGACCAUCCUCCAAGGCUAAAUACUCCUGACUGACCGAUAGUGAACCAGUACCGUGAGGGAAAGGCGAAAAGAACCCCGGCGAGGGGAGUGAAAAAGAACCUGAAACCGUGUACGUACAAGCAGUGGGAGCACGCUUAGGCGUGUGACUGCGUACCUUUUGUAUAAUGGGUCAGCGACUUAUAUUCUGUAGCAAGGUUAACCGAAUAGGGGAGCCGAAGGGAAACCGAGUCUUAACUGGGCGUUAAGUUGCAGGGUAUAGACCCGAAACCCGGUGAUCUAGCCAUGGGCAGGUUGAAGGUUGGGUAACACUAACUGGAGGACCGAACCGACUAAUGUUGAAAAAUUAGCGGAUGACUUGUGGCUGGGGGUGAAAGGCCAAUCAAACCGGGAGAUAGCUGGUUCUCCCCGAAAGCUAUUUAGGUAGCGCCUCGUGAAUUCAUCUCCGGGGGUAGAGCACUGUUUCGGCAAGGGGGUCAUCCCGACUUACCAACCCGAUGCAAACUGCGAAUACCGGAGAAUGUUAUCACGGGAGACACACGGCGGGUGCUAACGUCCGUCGUGAAGAGGGAAACAACCCAGACCGCCAGCUAAGGUCCCAAAGUCAUGGUUAAGUGGGAAACGAUGUGGGAAGGCCCAGACAGCCAGGAUGUUGGCUUAGAAGCAGCCAUCAUUUAAAGAAAGCGUAAUAGCUCACUGGUCGAGUCGGCCUGCGCGGAAGAUGUAACGGGGCUAAACCAUGCACCGAAGCUGCGGCAGCGACGCUGAUGCGUUGUUGGGUAGGGGAGCGUUCUGUAAGCCUGUGAAGGUGUGCUGUGAGGCAUGCUGGAGGUAUCAGAAGUGCGAAUGCUGACAUAAGUAACGAUAAAGCGGGUGAAAAGCCCGCUCGCCGGAAGACCAAGGGUUCCUGUCCAACGUUAAUCGGGGCAGGGUGAGUCGACCCCUAAGGCGAGGCCGAAAGGCGU
rnacentral:rRNA from 1 species